GUCACAGAUCCUAGGAAAAAGAAAAAAGAGGUGAGCGAUUUAAAAAGGGGGGGCGCUAACUACUAAACACUAUUUGAAACACUGCUUGGAAAUACUCCAGCGGGUGUGCAGCAAAGACCUUGGGGUGUCCAGCAAUGAGAGUUGGAGGAGAAAAAGAAGGUGGGGACAGUCUGCACCGAGCUGAAGGUUCCCUAAGUCCGACUCCAGGUGCAGCCAGGGCAAGGCAGGGAGCAAUGCAAUAGCGCGGUUUUGGGGGCUCCUGCAGGGACCUCUCUGUCCACCUGGGUAAGGUUCUCUUAGAAAAGUUUGUUCUCAUUCCUCCCACCCUGCUGGGGGCGGGGGGCGGGGUGCAGGGUGUGGGGGUGGCAUUCCCUGGAUACAGGAAGGAUCCAAGAAGGAGGGGGCGCUCGCGCGCGCCUCUCCUGUCGAUCUUCGCUGUUGACAGCCUGGAUGAGGUCACGGUCUCUUCAUUUUUGUUUGUCCAGAUAGUGCAUUGCUGAUGAUUUGGGUAAUUUCGGCAGAAAAGGAGGCCCCGGCUCCUCCCUCGGGGCCAAGGAGGAGGCGGCGGUUGCGGGUGGGGCGACAAAGGACACUGCAAGGAGCUGGGAGUGGCUGGCAAGCCAAGAUCCUCUACCUUCCAAAGCACUGGCUGAGAACUGAUGGCUUCAGUCUAGGGACUUGUGGGGACAUUCAGGACCCAAACCCAGACUGUAUCAGCACGAGUUUGCGUCCUGCGAUCCCAUGAUGACACGCUCUUAAUUGUUCUGCCACACAACCACGCUCUGAGGUGGCCAAGCUCUGCCCUCGGCAUCUCAAAACUCCCUCAUACGUACCACUUGUCCUUUCUUCUCUUCACGUUUUUCUCACAGGAACCAGAAGACCAUGUACAGAAACUGAAAAGUUCUUGAGAACACCCAACAAUACAAAGGAAGGCAAGCCUUUGAAGUUUAGUGAAAGGCAGCAGGACAGAAGAGAAGGGAGAACAGCCUUCACCGAGCCCUGAAAGAGCUGUGAAGACACCCAGGACCCAAAGUGAGCUUUCCAGCAAACGAAGUAAGGAGUGUAGGGCAGGUGAGAGCUGGUGUGCCAGAGCAAAGCUCUUUCACCCUGAAAACGGUGCAAAAAUAAAUAGAACCUCAUAUGGCCCUGAGUGCUUAGACUGGGAAGGAAAUAUAAGGAUAGAGGAGCCGGGGCACCUCUUCUCUCCUCUCCCUGCCAACACAAGCAAAUGUAAUGAAAUAGCUGUGGAUGCAUGCCUACCUCCUGAAGAACACACUCAACAACACUAUGGGCAGGGGUGCCCAGCUGGACACAUGCCACAACUGAUCUGUCGAACGGGCCACACACAUCCUCUGCUGAUCACGGCUCAUAGAGAUGAGAGAGACUCUGAGCUGGGUGGACUUUGCUCAUGUGGGUCCUCUCUACACCUUGUUCUCCUCUUUGUUCUUGCUACAAGAAAGUGAGGCAAUGGUGAGGACCCACUCCUCCCCUCCCCUCCCUGUACUGCACUACCUUAUACAUAACGCCCCCCAAAAGAUGGUGUUUAGUGCCAUCUCUACUGCCCCAGAGGAGAGUCAAAGAAUCAGAACAGAUUGGAAGCUUUGGGUAGACAGGAGAUCCGGCUUCCUUUUGUUCCAGAAACAAAUUCUGUCACCAGACUGGGGGCAGACAGGCCACUGUGCUUCUUUAUUAGGAUUCUAACAGGUAGAGGCAUGCAUUUCAUGUUUUUUGUCCUUUCUCCCUAAGAAUAGACAAGCCAGUAUGUUAGCUCCUGAACAGUGACAAUCUUCAAGGAGGCCAAUGCCGUGGGCAGCCCUGUCCCAGAUACAAUGAUAGUGCCUAGAUGGAAAGAUGGACCCUCUGGGCUCAUGUGUGUAAGUGUGUGAGUGGAUGUGUGCAGGUUUUUCUGUAUUGUUUUAUAUGUCUCUGUGUGCUUUGUGUACACACAUGCAUGCUUGGGUUGUGUUUGAGCUGUCUUUUCUGAAAUUUCCUUUACAACCGUGGAGAGAUGGCCAGACUUAGCAGGUAAGAAAAACCACGUAUCCAAAAGAUGGCAUGUGAGAGGAAGAGGUCCUGGAGUCCUUGGUUUGCUUCUAGGAAGCCAGCAGAAUAAUCUCAAGGCACUUCUGAGAUUCCUGCCUUUUUCUCCUCACACUGAAGUCUAUGCAACAAUCAUGGAGGCCUCUUUGGAUCUCCACUCUCCUUUACUCCCUAAACGUGGUUCAUGCAUUUUAACUUCAGGCCUGAGACUAGCCCGCCAUCCUUUCCUAGUCCCUCCUCUCAUGUAAGCCAAAGGGGUCUCCUCCUUCCUUGAAUGGCACUCAGUGGACUAGCCCCCAUAAUUUUCUACACACUGUGUGGCUCAGAUAAUUGGCCCUGUGGACACUGGUACCUUGACUUAAGCAUUUUGAUGUCUCUAUACCACAGAAAUAACAGUGCUGAUCAACUACUGAACUUGAAAUACUCCCCGAUAAAUGAAUGCAUUCUCAGGAGGAAGCAACAACUUCAAGUUUUACCCCUUGCUCCCUUCAAACAUCCUCAUGAACCAACAUACCUUUUAACUGACAAAUCCCAGAGUGCUUUGCUGUCCUUGCGUGACCCACCGUGAACCUGUUGGAAAUCUUUCUCCUGGGCUCCCAUCUGCCCUGGGCUCUAGGGCUAGACAUGCUCAUGGCUGAGCUUUGGGCUUCCAGCUCAUGCAGAAGAAGCAUUUUCAUAUGUGUCCUUUUCCAUCUGACGCUCAACUAAUCCUUCUCAACUUCAGAUCUUUGCACAAACUCCUCAUGUCAUCACUGGGGAGUUUGGGGCCCAGAGCAAAGGUAGGAAGAAAAAGCCCCAAAUCUGCACGUUUUAUUUCAUUGGUACAUGUAUUUAAUCCAUCUGCAAACUGUUCAUUGGAUAGCAUCGUCGGCUUCUCUCUCUGGGAACACUAAGGUAUGUGUAUUCAACAGUGGAAAAUAAACAUAAGAUUUUAUUACAAAGUGCCACUGCCGCUCCUGGCAUGAGUAAUUUGUGCACCUGCAUUUUUAAAAUGUUUCAAAGUUUUUCCCCUUGGUGGAUCGGUGGUAACACACAUUAGCUUCCCGGCUGUCACAGUCUGGUUCUUGUAGGCUCCUGUUAUUUCUACCCAGGCCAUCCAGAAGUCACUGUCUUUAGAACAGAGAACAAGCAAAUAUGAAGGGUGAUCAUGGAAGUCUCCAGCAGUCCAGACUCUGCUUCUGUCCUGAAAAAUACUUGUCUCCAGGGAGUCUUCUGACCUGUUGCUGGUCUAAAUACCAAGGGAUAGGAAACAAGUCAGAGUGGUCCCAGUAAGAUGUGGUUUGUGGGUACAGAACCGGAGUUGACCUCUCCUGCCAUCUCCUCUGCCUUGCUGGCUGCUUUCUCUUAAGCACUGGGAUGAAGGUGGUUGAGUGGGACUCCUCAGCAAAUAUGUGACCCAGUCUAAACCACUUGGUACUGGGUAGCCAGUCAGAAGAGAGCCUGGCUCUGGGGAGCCCCAGGUUUGGAAAGUGCUAUCGAGCCACAGGAAGGAGGGACUGUUGCUAUUAUGACAGCAUCCUGGCUUCCUCAGGCUUCCCACUCUUUUGUGUGUGCGCGCAAUGAUUCCGGUUUGUGCAGGUGUCUGAAGUCAUCUCGGCAUGCACUGUGCUAGCUAACAAUUUCCCCUGUGAUGUCUGUAAUCUCCUGGAAAUGUUCUCCGAUUCCUUCCAAUGUCCCCCACAACAGCCCCCAAGGCUGGCAAUUCCAAGUCAUCCCAGGCAUGUUAAUACUUUCUUGAGUCAUAUUGCAGCAUAUUGUACUCUUCCCUCCAACAGCAGGUCUCAGAGGAAGAUGCUAAUGGCCCAGUGCUACACCAACUUGAUCAUUAGAGUUCCCGUUUCUCCAAGCAACAUCAGGCGGAGAACUUGCUCUAAAGAGCAUUUAUUUAUCUGUCCAACACUGCAAAUGGAGACAGAGGGAGCGCUCCUGAUGGAACUGCUAGGUGUGACAUCUUCAUUGUUUAGUGUUAUGGAGAGCAACACAACCCUUGUUCAUUUAAGCAAUACUUAGUUUUCAAACACCACAUGCCAUCUGCCUUGAUGCUCUUUGGCCCAGGCACAGGGUUGAAUAUCCACAGCAUCUUCAAUUGUUUAAAUGCAAGCCUUCUCUGCCUUAGUGACAUGGGUAUUUGGGGAAUGACAUUUUGCUGGUGAGGAUCAAAUUCCUUAUUCUACCUAUGGACAGGUGUCUGUGGGCCAGCUGUUUGUCUCUGAGUUUGUCUAUUAAAGUGGUUUUUAAGAUUCCUUCUUGGAAGGCAGGAAAGAUCCUGGGGUGAUACUUUCUGUGUUCUGUGCACUGAUGUGUACAUAUGUUAAAGUCCUGGGUUUAAGUUCACAAAGGUACUUCUUAGAGUACUCUAGAACUUCCAAAGCAGUUGGUCUCAAAUCCUGCCUUAACUAAUGUAUGCACCAUUGUCCAAAGGCAAAAACUGAAUUGUAACUGAAAUCAUACCACGCAUACACCAUAGAAGCACACACUACACACAUCAUAUAUAAAACACACACAUCACAAAAUACACACUACACAUCCACCACAACAAAUAUACCACACAUAUGGUACUGCGUACACCACAUAUAUCACAUUCACCACACAUGCUACACACAACAUAUACUAUACACCAUUCCCACCUACGUUUUUCCCAAACAUCACCCCCCACACCACACAAACAUACACAUGACACCACACCACAUACAUAAACCACACAUACGUACCACUUCACACACACCACACAUCACAUCCCCACAUGUCACACACCCCAUGUUUGCUCGACGAGAAAUCAUGUUUGAGAGUCUUCUAGACUGUUCCCCGCCUUAGUUUCUUGUUGAUGUCGUUCUGCAUAAUAUUCUGCAGACUGGAAAUAACUGGGGAAAUGGUGGCCACAUUCAGCAGAGGCCCACAUGGCCUUGGUAACACGAUUACAGUAAAAAUUACUUAGACCAUCUACAGUUUUAGGCAAGAGAUUAUUGCACUAAUUAUGUCAAGGGUCCAGGGUAAGGACCUUGCACUUGGAGGAAAUGUUCAAAUGAAUAGUUACAACAUGGGAACAAAACUAAGGUAUGUGGUCCUCCCAUCUGGAUCGCUGUGAUUUUCUUUUGUUAUUAUUAUUUUCUUAACGUGAGGUCUCCUUAUAGCCUAGGGUGUCCUCAAACUCAUGUAUCUGAGGCUGGUCUUGAUUUCCUAAUCUUCUUAGCUUCAUCUGUCGAGUGCUGGGAUUAUAGGCAUGCACCACUAGGGCUCUUGACAUGAUGGGAACAAUUGCAUAAGGUUCGGCACCAGGCCGCAAUUCAGGGAUUCAGGCUACUUCCGUCUUUUGUGACUCUCAUCCUUACUCUGCAAUCUUCAAGGUCCAAGAAACAAACCAAAGUCUUCUCAAUGCAAAGGAGCGUGGAAGUACAACGUGGAGCAAGCCUCUGCCACCACCUCUAUUGCCCUGGUAUCUGGAUAUUUCAAGUGGAAAUACCCAGCUCCAGUCAUAGAUUGUUCCUGCACUCUUCUGUGUCUUUGAAUGGGUGGAAGACUUGCAGAGGCUUCUUCUUAAGGCUUUUAAUCAUGAGCAUUAACCCAGUGUCAUACAAUCUGAGCUGGUUAUAACUUUGUCGUGUGCAUGCACAGGUCUGAGAUAUUCUUCAAUCAGCACCUACCACCUAGAUUUCAUUAUGUAGACCAAGUUGGCUUAGAACUCAGAGAUUUGCCUUCAUUUUCAUUCCAGGUGCUGAGAUUAAAAUGUGUACCACCAAGACUGGCUGACUUGGUUGCUUUUGACAGUAGUAUUUUUCCAAUCAGAAAAACAGUGAUAUCAAAAAUGGAAUAUAAUAUUAUUUUAGAAUACCCGUGAUAAAUUAAAUAGUAACUUUAUAAUAAAUUAAUAAAUACUAGUAUUUACACAUAUUAAUAUUUACUAAUAUUAUUUAUACCCAUUUAUAUACUUCCACAGUGUUUGUAAUAUUAUUAUAUUAAGAGUGUUAACAGUGUAAUUCACUGACGCUCUCUAAUGGCACACAAAUACGAUUUUUUUUUCA